ensembl:rRNA 5S_rRNA 5S ribosomal RNA
ACCGGCAGCUAGCUCUCUGCAUCUUUCACAUGGUUGCCCACUGACGCUAAGCAGGGCUGUGCCCGGUCAGUACCUAGAUGGCUGACCACAUGGGAAAGCUAGGGUGCUGCCAGGA